CUACGGGCGGCAGCAGUUUCGAAUAAUUCACAAUGGGCGCAAGCCUGAUGAUGCGACGUUACGUGAAGGAAGAAAGCUUUAAGUUGUAAACUUCUGUCGUUAAGGAACAAAAAAUUAAGUAGUACUUUUUAUAUUGAGUUAACUUAAAAAGGAAGCAGUGGCUAAUUUCGUGCCAGCAGCCGCGGUAAUACGGGAACUGCAAGCGUUGCUCGGUUUUAUUGGGCGUAAAGAGUACGUAGGCUGUUAUAUAUGUUAAUUGUUAAAUUUUAAAGUUAAUCUUUAAAUUUGCUGUUAAAACUAUAUAACUAGAAUUUCAAAGAGGUAAGUGGAAUUUCAAGUGUAGCGGUGAUAUGCGUAGAUAUUUGAAGGAACACCAAUGGCGAAAGCAACUUACUGGGUGAUAAUUGACGCUAAAGUACGAAAGUAUAGGGAGCAAAAGGGAUUAGAUACCCGGGUAGUC
rnacentral:rRNA from 1 species